rnacentral:rRNA from 1 species
UACGGGAGGCAGCAGUGGGGAAUCUUCCGCAAUGGGCGAAAGCCUGACGGAGCAACGCCGCGUGAGUGAAGAAGGUCUUCGGAUCGUAAAGCUCUGUUGUCGGGGACGAAGGGGCAGAUCAGGAAAUGGGUCUGCUUAGACGGUACCUGACGAGGAAGCCACGGCUAACUACGUGCCAGCAGCCGCGGUAAU